AGGAAAUUGCUUUAUGAUGAUGGAAAAGGUGUUGCAGAGGCGCUUAAUGAAACAGUUUGCGUUGGUAACGAUUGUAGAGGAUUAACUGUUCAAGGUAAAUACUAUCUUAGGAUCGAUCCAAUUGGAGAGGGUGCCAAGUGGCGUCGAUCCUAUGGUCAAGAAAUAUACUCUCCACUUCUUUUGGCGUUCACUGAGCAGG